GCAGUGGUAGUUCAGUGGUAGAAUUCUCGCCUUCCAUUUAGGUGAGAACCCCAGGUUUGAUUCCUGGCCAACGCA
rnacentral:tRNA from 1 species